rnacentral:rRNA from 1 species
ACUCAAAGGAAUAGACGGGGGCCCGCACAAGCAGCGGAGCAUGUGGUUUAAUUCGACGCAACGCGAAGAACCUUACCAGGUCUUGACAUCCGUCUAAAGCCGUGGAGACACGGUGUGGCAGCAAUGCCGAGGCGAGACAGGUGGUGCAUGGUUGUCGUCAGCUCGUGUCGUGAGAUGUUGGGUUAAGUCCCGCAACGAGCGCAACCCUUGUCGUCAGUUACUAACGCGUAAAGGCGAGGACUCUGACGAGACUGCCGGGGACAACUCGGAGGAAGGUGGGGAUGAUGUCAAAUCAUCAUGCCCCUUAUGACCUGGGCUACACACGUGCUACAAUGGCCGCAACAAAGAGGAGCAAAUGCGCAAGCAAGAGCGGAUCUCAAAAAGCGGUCUCAGUUCGGAUCGUGGGCUGCAACCCGCCCACGUGAAGUCGGAGUUGCUAGUAAUCGCGAAUCAGCAUGUCGCGGUGAAUACGUUCCCGGGCCUUGUACACACCGCCCGU